GCUCAGGACGAACGCUGGCGGCGUGCUUAACACAUGCAAGUCGAACGAUGAAGCCCUUCGGGGUGGAUUAGUGGCGAACGGGUGAGUAACACGUGGGCAAUCUGCCCUUCACUCUGGGACAAGCCCUGGAAACGGGGUCUAAUACCGGAUACGACCUGCCGAGGCAUCUCGGCGGGUGGAAAGCUCCGGCGGUGAAGGAUGAGCCCGCGGCCUAUCAGCUUGUUGGUGGGGUAAUGGCCUACCAAGGCGACGACGGGUAGCCGGCCUGAGAGGGCGACCGGCCACACUGGGACUGAGACACGGCCCAGACUCCUACGGGAGGCAGCAGUGGGGAAUAUUGCACAAUGGGCGAAAGCCUGAUGCAGCGACGCCGCGUGAGGGAUGACGGCCUUCGGGUUGUAAACCUCUUUCAGCAGGGAAGAAGCGAGAGUGACGGUACCUGCAGAAGAAGCGCCGGCUAACUACGUGCCAGCAGCCGCGGUAAUACGUAGGGCGCAAGCGUUGUCCGGAAUUAUUGGGCGUAAAGAGCUCGUAGGCGGCUUGUUGCGUCGGAUGUGAAAGCCCGGGGCUUAACCCCGGGUCUGCAUUCGAUACGGGCAGGCUAGAGUUCGGUAGGGGAGAUCGGAAUUCCUGGUGUAGCGGUGAAAUGCGCAGAUAUCAGGAGGAACACCGGUGGCGAAGGCGGAUCUCUGGGCCGAUACUGACGCUGAGGAGCGAAAGCGUGGGGAGCGAACAGGAUUAGAUACCCUGGUAGUCCACGCCGUAAACGUUGGGAACUA
rnacentral:rRNA from 1 species